AGUGGCGGACGGGUGAGUAACGCGUAAGAAUCUAACUUCAGGACGGGGACAACAGUGGGAAACGACUGCUAAUACCCGAUGUGCCGCGAGGUGAAACCUAAUUGGCCUGAAGAAGAGCUUGCGUCUGAUUAGCUAGUUGGUGGGGUAAGAGCCUACCAAGGCGACGAUCAGUAGCUGGUCUGAGAGGAUGAGCAGCCACACUGGGACUGAGACACGGCCCAGACUCCUACGGGAGGCAGCAGUGGGGAAUUUUCCGCAAUGGGCGAAAGCCUGACGGAGCAACGCCGCGUGAGGGAGGAAGGUCUUUGGAUUGUAAACCUCUUUUCUCAAGGAAGAAGUUCUGACGGUACUUGAGGAAUCAGCCUCGGCUAACUCCGUGCCAGCAGCCGCGGUAAUACGGGGGAGGCAAGCGUUAUCCGGAAUUAUUGGGCGUAAAGCGUCCGCAGGUGGUCAGCCAAGUCUGCCGUCAAAUCAGGUUGCUUAACGACCUAAAGGCGGUGAAACUGGCAGACUAGAGAGCAGUAGGGGUAGCAGGAAUUCCCAGUGUAGCGGUGAAAUGCGUAGAGAUUGGGAAGAACAUCGGUGGCGAAAGCGUGCUACUGGGCUGUAUCUGACACUCAGGGACGAAAGCUAGGGGAGCGAAAGGGAUUAGAUACCCCUGUAGUCCUAGCCGUAAACGAUGGAUACUAGGCGUGGCUUG
rnacentral:rRNA from 1 species